UGUGAGCUCGAUGAGUAGGGCGGGACACGUGGUAUCCUGUCUGAAUAUGGGGGGACCAUCCUCCAAGGCUAAAUACUCCUGACUGACCGAUAGUGAACCAGUACCGUGAGGGAAAGGCGAAAAGAACCCCGGCGAGGGGAGUGAAAAAGAACCUGAAACCGUGUACGUACAAGCAGUGGGAGCACGCUUAGGCGUGUGACUGCGUACCUUUUGUAUAAUGGGUCAGCGACUUAUAUUCUGUAGCAAGGUUAACCGAAUAGGGGAGCCGAAGGGAAACCGAGUCUUAACUGGGCGUUAAGUUGCAGGGUAUAGACCCGAAACCCGGUGAUCUAGCCAUGGGCAGGUUGAAGGUUGGGUAACACUAACUGGAGGACCGAACCGACUAAUGUUGAAAAAUUAGCGGAUGACUUGUGGCUGGGGGUGAAAGGCCAAUCAAACCGGGAGAUAGCUGGUUCUCCCCGAAAGCUAUUUAGGUAGCGCCUCGUGAAUUCAUCUCCGGGGGUAGAGCACUGUUUCGGCAAGGGGGUCAUCCCGACUUACCAACCCGAUGCAAACUGCGAAUACCGGAGAAUGUUAUCACGGGAGACACACGGCGGGUGCUAACGUCCGUCGUGAAGAGGGAAACAACCCAGACCGCCAGCUAAGGUCCCAAAGUCAUGGUUAAGUGGGAAACGAUGUGGGAAGGCCCAGACAGCCAGGAUGUUGGCUUAGAAGCAGCCAUCAUUUAAAGAAAGCGUAAUAGCUCACUGGUCGAGUCGGCCUGCGCGGAAGAUGUAACGGGGCUAAACCAUGCACCGAAGCUGCGGCAGCGACGCUGAUGCGUUGUUGGGUAGGGGAGCGUUCUGUAAGCCUGCGAAGGUGUGCUGUGAGGCAUGCUGGAGGUAUCAGAAGUGCGAAUGCUGACAUAAGUAACGAUAAAGCGGGUGAAAAGCCCGCUCGCCGGAAGACCAAGGGUUCCUGUCCAACGUUAAUCGGGGCAGGGUGAGUCGACCCCUAAGGCGAGGCCGAAAGGCGUAGUCGAUGGGAAACAGGUUAAUAUUCCUGUACUUGGUGUUACUGCGAAGGGGGGACGGAGAAGGCUAUGUUGGCCGGGCGACGGUUGUCCCGGUUUAAGCGUGUAGGCUGGUUUUCCAGGCAAAUCCGGAAAAUCAAGGCUGAGGCGUGAUGACGAGGCACUACGGUGCUGAAGCAACAAAUGCCCUGCUUCCAGGAAAAGCCUCUAAGCAUCAGGUAACAUCAAAUCGUACCCCAAACCGACACAGGUGGUCAGGUAGAGAAUACCAAGGCGCUUGAGAGAACUCGGGUGAAGGAACUAGGCAAAAUGGUGCCGUAACUUCGGGAGAAGGCACGCUGAUAUGUAGGUGAAG
rnacentral:rRNA from 1 species